CUCCCUGGAUUGGCAGCAGAUGCAUACCUGGGAAGGAUGCUACGUCAUCCAGGAACUCUACCUCCUUCACAUCCCUAAGGACUGUGCUCCCAAUCCGCUUACACUCAAGGAAGAACUACCUGGAAGCCCUCCCUGGUACCAUACCCCAGCCGAUGAGUAUGUACCCCCAGAAGUACUUCCG